UACCCCAUGGCGUAGGUAGUGGUCACUGCACUCGCCUUGCACGCGGGAGACCCGGGUUCGAUUCCCGGCGGGGUCA
rnacentral:tRNA from 1 species